rnacentral:ncRNA from 1 species
UACAGUAGAGGCGCGUUGUGUUAUCAGUAUCGCCGUCCGUUAAAGGCUUCGCAGGUCUUUGGACGACGUGAAAGGAGCCGACGCCGAAGACGGAUGAGGCGUAAGUCCGGUCUGGGUAUAUGCAGAACAUGCAUAUAACUGUCGCAUCUUGCGGAGAGCUA